rnacentral:rRNA from 1 species
UUCCGGUUGAUCCUGCCGGACCCGACUGCUAUUUGGGUGAGAAUAAGCCAUGCGAGUUGAAUGGGAUACCUAAAUUUCCCAUAGCAAACUGCUCAGUAACACAUGAUCAACUUACCCUAUAGAGAAAAAUAACCUCGGGAAACUGAGGAUAAUGUUUCAUAAUUGAAUUGGCUUGGAAAAGUUUUUCAAUGAAAAGGAUAAAAAAAAUGGUUUUUAUCUGCUAUAGGAUAGGAUCGUGUUCGAUUAUGGUUGUUGGUGAGAUAAUGGCUCACCAAGCCGAUAAUCGAUAGGGGCCGUGAGAGCGGGAGCCCCGAGAUGGGUACUGAGACAACGACCCAGGCCUUACGAGGCGCAGCAGGCGCGGAACCUCCGCAAUACACGAAAGUGUGACGGGGUUACCCAAAGUGUUCAAUAGAACUGUGGUAGGUGAGUAAUGUCCCCUACUAGAAAGGAGAGGGCAAGGCUGGUGCCAGCCGCCGCGGUAAAACCAGCUCUUCAAGUGGUCGGGAUAAUUAUUGGGCUUAAAGUGUCCGUAGCCGGUUUAGUAAGUUCCUGGUAAAAUCGGGUAGCUUAACUAUCUGCAUGCUAGGAAUACUGCUAUACUAGAGGGCGGGAGAGGUCUGAGGUACUACAGGGGUAGGGGUGAAAUCUUAUAAUCCUUGUAGGACCACCAGUGGCGAAGGCGUCAGACUGGAACGCGCCUGACGGUGAGGGACGAAAGCCAGGGGAGCGAACCGGAUUAGAUACCCGGGUAGUCCUGGGCCGUAAACGAUGCAUACUAGGUGAUGGUACGGCCAUGAGCCGUAUCAGUGCCGUAGGGAAACCGUUAAGUGUGCCGCCUGGAAGUACGGUCGCAAGGCUAAAACUUAAAGGGAAUGGCGGGGGAGCACCACAGGGGGUGAGCCUGCGGUCAAUUGGAUCACGGCGGU